rnacentral:lncRNA from 10 species
GGAGCACUGAACUGGGUGAGGAACCGAAUAUACAGGGAAUCUUCAAAGCCUGCUAGCAGAGAUGAAUAAGGCUGAAGAAGCAAGUCCCUGGAGAGAAAGGAAGAGAUGAGAGAGACCCCCAAGUUGUGUGAUCACCUCCAGCACACUGGAGACUGAGCCGUUUCACAAGGAGAGACCUUGGGAGGAGAAGUCAUGAGGACAGUCAACCAGCUCUUUGAAGAAGUCCACAUGCUGAGAAACUGAGGCCUCCUGCCAACAGCCUUGUGAGUGAAUCAUCUUGGAGGUGGAUCCUCCAGCACCUGUAAAACCUUCAGAUGACCACAGAUCUGGCUGACAUUUUGACCUCAAUGUUAUGAAAAAUCUUGAGGCAGAAGCACCCAGCUAAGCCAAUCCUGUAUUCUUCACCUACAGAAACUAUGAGAUGAAGUAAAUCUCCUGUCAAAGGAUUGGAGAGAAGGAACCAACCGUCUUUCACUCACCCACUUAGAACCUUCUGGAAGCCCUGACUGCCUUGCUGUAAGGUCGGCUGAAUGGAAAGAGACAAAGGCUGUUGGCCCUGAUAACAGAGGACAUGGAGAACACUGACGGGCCAGCACAGAGAGGUGUCAAACCUACAUUGCAGCCUGAAGGAUGUCUUCACUUCCUCCUGCUCCUUCGCCUUGUAUCCUUCAUAGAUUUUUCCCGCAAUAAAACUUUGCA